ensembl:lncRNA
UAAGAGGUUCUCUCAGGGUCUUUCUCUAUCCUAGGGUUGCUCCACAUCUCUGAACUCAUUUCUGUUGAUAUAACUGAGGCCUUGGCAUUGUACUUGUUUUAUGAGUUCAAACAGACUUCCACUUAAACCCAGAGACUCCAGAAUUCAGGUGUCUCUCAGAUGUCUUACAGUUCCAUCCUUUGAUCCAGAAUCCCACUUCAAAUGGAAAUUUUAUUUUACUUUAUAUUUAAAUUGUUUGAGGUUGCCACCUGCCAAUCCUUUUAAGAUCAGAGUUUGACACAAAAUUGUUCAGUGGGUGGGUGUAUUACUGUUGUUUUAAAGAUCCCCAUUAUUAGCUGUGCAGUUCUCCCCCAAGAGUUCCUUACACCACUUGGAUUCCACAUGGGAGAGCAAAGCUUCUGUAGCAAAAAGACAUUGUCAAGACUUCCAGAGGUCAAAGAAAGUAGUGGGGACUCGGCCACCAAGGUUCCUGGCACCCGCUUCCUGGUUCCACCACCCAGCCUUGGGGAGGUUCCCUGCAGUAUAUUAUCCGUGAGUGCACCUGUGAUCCUUCUCAGGAAGGGAUUUAGAGCUUCAUCGAUUCUGCAUAAUUAGUGGGGAGACUACAGUAUUCCUGUGUAUGAAUUUGUUACGGGACAUCAGUCCAGGUGCUUGCCGCACAACAGGCCAAUUCACACCAAGAGACAAGGCGCCGAGGCAAGGAAGGUGACUAGAGAAAAGCCAGCAGGACAAGAAGAUGGAGGACUCUUACCCCAAGUCGUCCGUGUCUGUUGGGAAGCUGGCUGAGGAGUGAUUUAUAUCAGCAGGCGAUGGGUGUUCCCAGACCGGUGGGCACCUUCACACAGCAGGUGGGCCAGAGAAGCGAUCUGAGGCUAAUCGCCUAGUCAUGAGAUGCUUUUCAGUUCUGCAGAUGUCAGGGAAAAGAUUAUGACGGGCUAUUCUUUCCAUGUACGGCAUACAGACCAUCACCAAACUUUUCACAAUGAAAGAGAACGUACUUCACCUGACGUGGAGAUCAGGUGAGGCUUAAACAGGGAGUCGGUGUGAGAUUUGAACUUAGUACUUGGCUUCAGUUUUACCCUAAUGUAGUUAACCAGCCC